GUGUGUGGCAUACAUGGCUUAAAUACCCCCAAACCACAGAUCUUAUCUGAUUUUGGAAGUUAUGUCAGCCCAAGUUAGUACUUGAAUGGGAAACCAUCAAUGAAUAUCAAGUGCAGUAGGCU
rnacentral:rRNA from 11 species